AUGGGGAGUAGGCACUUAAUGCACUCCAGGGCUCUAACAGUCCACCCACCCCUUACCCACACCAAGCUAGAAAGUCUGCAUUUGGGAAAGGAAGGGUGGGGGGGAAGUCAAGGGUGGGCUGCACCCUUCCAAUGUCUCCUUCCUCACUCCCCUGGGGGCCUCUUGGCUCCUCACUGCACUUCCCCCGAAUUGAGCUGGUGCACAUGGCUGGUGGGAAACCCUGUCUGUGAACCCUGCACCUCGGGCCCCCACAGCACAGCCCCCAAGGGGCCUGGAGGGCCCACGGCCAAGGGGCGCCUGGAGAGAGUGGCCCAUCGGCCACUGUCUCCAUCCGUCUCCCUCUCCCACGAGCCCCACCCAGGGGCCCCUCCCUGGCCCGGGCCACCAGCCCCCGGUCCAUGAGGUCCCUCAGAGACUGGUAACCAGUUGCAUCUGCCCGUCCCCGUCGGGGCCGGGCCCCCCAAGGCCCGGGGCCGCCAGGUAGCCCUCGUGGCUGGGCCGCCGGACCUGGUAGUAGCCCUGCAGG
rnacentral:lncRNA from 1 species